rnacentral:misc_RNA from 1 species
GCCGGGCUCUUCUCUUUUUAAUGCCUUCAAGUUGUAGCACUUAUAAUACUAUUGUAGACAGCUUCCCAAUCUAAUGUUGAGCAUGUGCAUAAUUUAAGGUCACUCGAUGGGCAACACGGAGAACUUCACAUCUCAAAUUCUUGUCCUAGAGCCAGCGAAAACCUCCCCAUCGGCUAGCUCCACUGUAUUGGUGCAUCUUUUUAAAAUUGCAUCACUCUCAAAUCUUAUCAACUAAUUCCAUCAAAACUUUCAGAGGUAUUAAUUGAUGCUGUAGUGCUAUGUAAGAAAUGAACAGUUGUGAACUUUCACAGAUGGAUGUAAACAAUUAGUUGUUUAAAUUUCAAAUCAGAGUGACUAAUUAGUCUACUUAAAUUCAGAGGACUGCUUAUUCUCUGAACACAUCAACAUGUUGCUGCCAGGAACCUGGACUGCUCCAUGACCAUAACGGUCACUCAAGGAUCCAAAUUCUGAUUCAUCAUCAUCACUAUCAAUAUGUUUUG